CUUCAAUGAAGAUAAGAUGACGAGUCUGACCGGAGGUGUUCUCUUUGUCCGUGUGGCCCCUUACUCUGUGCUGCGUUCUGUGGCACAGUUUUAAGGGCCCUGGGUCAAAGUAACUUCCAAAAGAUGACCUAGAGGCAUUUGUCUGAGAAGG